AUACUUACCUGGUAGGAGAGAUACCAUGAUCACGAACAUGGUUUUCCCAGGGAGAGGCUUAUCCAUUGCACUCCCGAUGUGCUGACCCCUGCCGCUUCCACUACUGUGGGAAAUUCGACUGCGUAAUUUGCGGUAGUGGGACACUGUGUUCGCACUUUCCCCUA